rnacentral:rRNA from 1 species
AGAAUCAACGCUGGCGGCGUGCCUAACACAUGCAAGUCGAACGAGAAAGUGGAGCAAUCCAUGAGUAAAGUGGCGACCGGGUGAGUAACACGUGACUAACCUACCUUCGAGUGGGGGAUAACAUCGGGAAACCGAUGCUAAUACCGCAUAACAUCGCAAGAUCAAAGCAGCAAUGCGCUGGAAGAGGGGGUCGCGGCUGAUUAGCUAGUUGGCGGGGUAACGGCCCACAAGGCGAAGAUCGGUA